rnacentral:misc_RNA from 1 species
AACACUGUUAACCUGCGGUACCUGCGGAAGGAUCAUUAUAGUAUAUGGAAUCUCCAUUCUAUAAACCCACUCUGCGUAUCUUGUAACUGUUGCUUCCAUGGGACUUGGUUCCGCCACACCGGCUUCACGGCUGGUGAGCGCCCAUGGAAGGAGAAACAAAACUCUUCUUUGAAAUGUAGUCAGUCUGAGCAAGUUUUUAUAAACGUUAAAACUUUUAACAAUGGAUCUCAGAUCGGAAGA